UUGUGGCCACAUCAUAUUGAAACACCAGUUCCUGUACGAUCACUGAAGUUAAGCAAUGUCAAGUCUGGUCAGUACCUAGAUGAGUGACCAUUUGGGAAUACCAGAUGAUGUAAG
rnacentral:rRNA from 1 species